ensembl:lncRNA
GGAAGACUAGGACCAGGACCAAGUCAUACAUUCAACUCCAGCCAGAACCCGAUCACAAAGAUCUUGACCACAGUUAUGGACCAAACAGAGACUAAAGUGCAGUCUGCAUGUCCACAGAAGCAAUCUGCAAAGAGCAGAUCCAAGUCCACAGAGGAGGAAAAUCGAUCGAAGAAGGUAUGCUCUAAAUGAAAUGGCCAUAGCAUGCAGUAGGACCGAAUAACAAACUCUGAGACAUUCCACACUCCCCAGAAGUCUCUCCCGGUGCAGACCGACAUUGAGAAUAUCAAGAUGGAUUCAGCACCGCCUACGUCCUAAAACACACAUCUCUCCAAGUGCAGAAUCCAGUUGAGAGCAAUAGAGAAAACAAUUUAACAUUAACGUUCAAUAUCUUAUGCUCAUUUGUAACUUAUGUUGGGUUCUUCAUCAACCAUGGUACUGUGAGCCUUAAUUUGAAUAACACUGAUGCUCUUAAUAAACUUGAUCAAUAAAAGUGUUAAAUAGAUGCACCCUAUUCUCUCGUGCAGAUUCUACUUUAUUUAUAUUCCUGAUUUUACCGUCCAGUUGGGGUCUGUUCCAUGGGGUUCAUGGUCCGACCUUCAUGUGUGGGGCCUAGUAGUAGUCCUGUGCGCAGAGAGCCAGUGACUACAGGGAUGACCACUGAGUGAGGGGUCUGAGUUGGGUAAAAGGUAAUUUGGUCAUGUGUAUCCUGAAGCUUAUGGUCACCAACAGUAAAAUGGUCUUUUGAUCAUGUCUAUCGCCCGACUGUACAAGACAGUCAUGAUUAGCAACUAUGAUUAGAAUAGAAGGUGUAUUUCACUAAUGGGACAGGAAUCUGCAUUAGAGUGGUAUUACAAUAUCAACUUUGUAUGGUGGAUCACCACCUUUGUAAGUUCACUGAGACCAAUUUAUCUGACUCCAUUACAUUAUACUGUUAUUUGUUAUUUGUCAUUAUACUGACAUUCUGUUUGUUAAUCUUGUUGUGCUACAAAGACAAAGCUAAUAUGAAUGAUGUCUGGCCCAGGGUUCUGAUGAUAUUCGUGUUUUAUUCAAAGUUUCAGUUUUGGGUGACCAUCUUUUUAACUGUGGAGAGUCAAUGGAUGUAUUCGUAAUAAUAAAGAAUGC